AUUUAAAAAACAAAAGAAGAAAUUAUUAAUAAUUGUUGCAUUUUCCAUAGGGUUUGCAAUUCCUGAGCCCUGCUAUUGUGUAUAAUGGCUCAGUGGUAUGGCUUCCUGGGAUAAAUAUAUGGAACGGUGCCAACACUAAUGUUAUCAUUACUUUUAUUUGUUUUUCUGUGAUGACAUGUCAAAGGUUUGUCAUGAAAAAAAGCUAUUUAAGUCUACAAAACAGGUUACACUGGGAUGAGAAUAAAAUCAUGAGGGGUUGUGGCAUUUUAAUUUGCAUGAUACAGGACCUGUCUCAUGCAUAUUAAUAGUCAAGCUAUUUGCAUUUUGCCUCUAAAGCAAAAUAAAGAUGCUUUUGCUAUAUCCACCUAUAGCUAUAUUCAGUGGGCUACAUAUUUUGUUAAAUUUAACAAAUCAUCCAGCAUCUCUAUGUCUGAUAAACAUAUAUGAAACUCAAACUGAACUCAAACUAUGAAAAUAUUAACCUUACUCACAGCUUGCAUGUGCCUGCUUAGCCUACAUGCCAACAAUUGAUAAAUGGUGAAUAUGAAUUAAUAAAAAUGUAAAGCAAACUUGCAGCUAAAUAUACUGUACAUUAAACAGUCAUCUUGUGCCAAUAGCACACACAGGCAAUGGGCAGCCAAUAGGUAGACAAUGAGUCUAAACUGCCGUUAGGUUAUUAAAUCAAAUGGUCAUUCAGUUAAAAACCCACAAACAGGAAGAAAUGUUAAACAUUCACUGUGGUUCUACAGCCCAAGCUGAGGCAGUCAACAUAUCAGAUGCUAAAUAGGAUCAAGGAAGAUUCCAAUUGUAGACCUGUGUUAUUUUUCCCUACUCAGACAGCCACAUGGGAACAUCAAAUGAGCCGCAAAGGAGUUGAAAAUUAGAUCUUUUGCGGCUGGGUAAAUCCAGUCAGAGAAGAGAGACCCAUUGAUGUGGUGGUAGCUUGAAAGGUUGGGCACUAUAGCUACCGUAAUCCCUCACAAGGACUAUAAUAAGGCAAAAAUUGGCAGGCUGAUAGGUGGGAAUGCUCAAUCAUCUCUAAGUGAAGAUGUUGGUAUAAUGUGAGCAAACCAUGCUUUAUAAAUUAACACUUAUAAGGCUGUAGGCAUAAGGAGUGACACAGAUGUGAGUAUAGCUGCUUGGUUCUCACUUAGUGGUAAUUUAGAGAAGUGGGAGAUCUAUCAGUGAAAAUGCAUGCCACUGUUGUAACACCAAGAGCAGCAAUGUGCAAAAUGUGAUCUUCACAAAGCAAUCAAUCAACAGCAUGGACACAGAUCUAAUGAGAGCUGUCAACUUCAUAUUUAUGUCAGCCUGAAGAGGGUGAGAAAAACUACAAUUUCCUGUUAAAAUGGGUGGGUGGUGUGAGCUGAAGUGCAUGCAGCACUGACUGGAUGAUAAGUUCUUAUGUUUACCGGGAUUAUAGCCUAGGUAACAGAGGUGUGUCCAACCCUCGGCUACUCGAAUGAAUAACCUACCCCAUAUUUUCUGCUCCGGCUGCUCACAGACCUCUCCUUGGUCCCCGACAGUGAAGUCAUGUUGGAGGUUGUUGCUUCUAAAGAAACCCCUCGAAUCACUUGCUAAAACCGGACUGAGGAUUCACACAGGUCGUGCGUGAAAGCAGACCGCUCCCUGUCAACAGAGUCUGCUCUGCGCUGAAUGGGGGUCUCUGCUCAACAGCGCUCCGGACUGGCAUCGCACUCAGCCCUGCCUCUCUCCAUCAGCUCUGCGUCUGAGGCUUGCCAGAUAAAACAAAACAAAGAAAAAAAAAGGGGCGCAAAUUCCGACGCACGGUUUAGGACUCACUGACAAAGUCACGACUCGUUAGAUCGAAUAAGAUCUAGCAUAGACCACAGCUAUAAGGAGUCAGUUCCUCGCUGCUUAUAGUUCAAGUGUUACUAUCCGUACCCUCCUGUUGACUUCCCGAGGCUCCGCACUCUGCUGAAGCAGCAGUGGACUGAGACAGGAGAGAGGCGCACAUCUGGAUGAGGGCGGGGCCUCCCUGCCCCUCAUCGACUACAGGCCAAUACACAUCCAGAGGUUCCAGCUGAGUGGCAGGUGGACUGCUGCCUGUUUGAAGUGAAAAAACUAAACUUUUAUAUGGAGAUUUGUCACAUUACUUUAGGAUGUCUUUAUUGGUAAUGAUAUGUUAAACUCCUAUGCACAAUAAAGGACUCUUCCAUGGCUAUAACAUUGAAGACACUAAGGUCUUGCACUGCACAAUUAGAAUAACACCUGGGGAUAUUUUACACAGAUUGCAGUAUUUCUAGAUGGAAUAUAUCAAUUGAAUUAAGAGAUCCAAGCCUUAGAAUAGAAUAGAGUUUAAAUCACUACAAAAGCUGUUGAUUUUUCAACAUUAACUUUUAAUGGAGGAGACACCUCUGAAUAAACUCACAUAGUGUUUUUGGAACCUUUGUUUUGUAAUAGAGAGCAGUAUACGUGAGUGGUAACACAGUGCCCUCUGCUGUUGUCUUAGAGGUAUUGUGAGAGACAUACAGCAGAGUGAAUAAAGAGCACAAAGCAUCAUUAACUUAAAUUUUAAAAAAUUUAAGUUAAUGGUGCCAAUAUUCAGAUUUCCAUUUUUAUAGAAAGUUUACUGUUGAUUUUUGCAAAUAUCAAAUAUUUUUUGAAUAUCUUUAGAAAGCCACAAAAAUGUUUUUCUCACACAAACUCUAUUACAGAAAUAAGAGGUACAAUUUAGGGUAGCUGUUUGCAUAUUUACACUCACAGGCCUUUUUUCAAUCCAAUCCAAUCUUAUUUAUUAAAAACAACACAGUUGACCAAAGUGCUGUACAAGACAGGCAGUGAAGAGGCCUGCCAAAUGUAUAAAGGCAAUUCGUUCCAGAGUUUGGGAGCCGCAGCUGCAAAUGCACAUUUGACAUAUAGCCUAAUAAAUCACAGGUGUAGAUAAUAAAAUUAAUUAUAACUGUAUUCCACUCAGUGAUUUACCUGCUGCAGUUUCAGGGUUCUGGUAUUGUGCAUGUUGGCUCACUGUCACACUGUCGUGGCUUAUUGGGGCACUUCAAUACAACAGAGCCAUUGUUAAUGUUAUUAUUAACAGCUGUGCUUAUCCUGCUGUGACAAGUCCUAAUGUCCUCUGUGAAAAAGGCCUUUUGGCAAUUCAUUGAAGGAAAGAAUGCAUACAUGAAAAAAAAUGUGUAUUGACAAUUGACAACCAAUGUAUUAUGACCAUUAAUAGCUUAUUACAAUGUAAACAGUAUAACAUAUUACCACACUGAACAAAAGAUGGCACACAGGCCUACUACUUCAGAUUUAUGACAAUGCCUACAGAUGGUUUCUAAGAACUCAGACAUGUAGGUGUUGGAGUAUUUAUACUUGAAUUUCAGAUCAAUAUACUGUUUUGUUUUUUUUGUUUUUCUGUAAUAAAGUAACCCUCUUCUAGUUAUCAGUA